rnacentral:rRNA from 1 species
UACGUAGGGGUGCAAGCGUUGUCCGGAAUUAUUGGGCGUAAAGAGCUCGUAGGCGGUCUGUCGCGUCUGGUGUGAAAACUCAGGGCUUAACCCUGAGCUUGCAUCGGGUACGGGCAGACUAGAGUGCGGUAGGGGAGACUGGAAUUCCUGGUGUAGCGGUGAAAUGCGCAGAUAUCAGGAGGAACACCGGUGGCGAAGGCGGGUCUCUGGGCCGUAACUGACGCUGAGGAGCGAAAGCAUGGGGAGCGAACAGG